CGCGGCCUAUCAGCUUGUUGGUGGGGUAAUGGCCUACCAAGGCGACGACGGGUAGCCGGCCUGAGAGGGCGACCGGCCACACUGGGACUGAGACACGGCCCAGACUCCUACGGGAGGCAGCAGUGGGGAAUAUUGCGCAAUGGGCGAAAGCCUGACGCAGCGACGCCGCGUGAGGGAUGAAGGCCUUCGGGUCGUAAACCUCUUUCAGCAGGGAAGAAGCGAAAGUGACGGUACCUGCAGAAGAAGCACCGGCUAACUACGUGCCAGCAGUCGCGGUAAUACGUAGGGUGCAAGCGUUGUCCGGAAUUAUUGGGCGUAAAGAGCUCGUAGGCGGUCUGUCGCGUCUGCUGUGAAAACUCAGGGCUUAACCCUGAGCUUGCAGUGGGUACGGGCAGACUAGAGUGCGGUAGGGGAGACUGGAAUUCCUGGUGUAGCGGUGAAAUGCGCAGAUAUCAGGAGGAACACCGGUGGCGAAGGCGGGUCUCUGGGCCGUAACUGACGCUGAGGAGCGAAAGCAUGGGGAGCGAACAGGAUUAGAUACCCUGGUAGUCCAUGCCGUAAACGUUGGGCGCUAGGUGUGGGGCUCUUUCCAUGAGUUCCGUGCCGCAGCUAACGCAUUAAGCGCCCCGCC
rnacentral:rRNA from 1 species